AACGUAGGAGACAAACGUUAUCCGGAGUUACUGGGCGUAAAGGGCGUGUAGGUGGUUUCGUAAGUCUGGCGUGAAAUUUCUCGGCUUAACCGAGGCAGGUCGUCGGAUACUGCGGAACUUGAGGACGGUAGAGGCGUGUGGAAUUCCGGGUGUAGUGGUGAAAUGCGUAGAGAUCCGGAGGAACACCAAUGGCGAAGGCAGCCUUCUGGGCCAACACUGACGCUCAUGCACGAAAGCGUGGGGAGCAAACAGG
rnacentral:rRNA from 1 species